UACAGAGGUCUCAAGCGUUUGUUCGGAUUCAUUGGGCGUAAAGGGUGCGUAGGCGGCGCGGUAAGUCGGGUGUGAAAUCUCGGAGCUUAACUCCGAAACUGCAUUCGAUACUGCCGUGCUUGAGGACUGGAGAGGAGACUGGAAUUUACGGUGUAGCGGUGAAAUGCGUAGAUAUCGUAAGGAAGACCAGUGGCGAAGGCGGGUCUCUGGACAGUUCCUGACGCUGAGGCACGGAAGGCCCAGGGGGAGCAAAACGGG
rnacentral:rRNA from 1 species